CUGUAUUUGAGCCUUUGGCGUAAAUUCAAUAAAUAAAUACAUCCGACAAAUUUGUUUUCAUAAAUUGCCUUUAUUAUUGGCCUUCUUCACCCCGGUUUCUCCUUGAUUUUCUCAUCUAUUAUCGUAGUUGUCUAUGGAUUGUUCCUUAUGAGAUUACGUGAUAAUUUCUUUCUUUGUUUUUUCUCUUUUUUCAACCUUACCUAACAUUCCAUGUAGACUUACCUACUACCAUUCGUCCUAAAUGAUGGUCGGCACACCUCACAUCCUCUCUGUAUCCAGAUUUUCAAUAAUCUCUGGCAAACAAAAUUUCGAAGACUCCUACGUAAUACACAAAUAAUAUUAUGUAUAUAUUUAUAUAUUGGAAGAAUUACAAUCGGUACGACAAAUACGAUUGCACGUCAGAAAAGGUAAUCACCUUGAACGAUAACGGAUCAUGAAUAUAGCUGGCAUUGCCAUUGGCAUAAGCCUGCACAGUAUUGUAAUGGGCGAGUUGAAUAAAUAACAUAUUACCCAAAAGCAGGUUGGGCAGUUUUAAUUUCAAUUCUAAUUAUGCAGCGAUAAAUCGUCUCAAACGAGAUUUUUUUCUCGCCGGAUUUUCGGGAAUCGAUUUUGAUUUUCCGUUUUUCCUAUGGUUUUUUUUUUCUUUUGCCGGAGUUUUCCCGUUAUUAAGAAAAAUACGAUCAAUUUCAAACAUUCCCUCUCUACACCCCUCCCCCGCUUGCACCAAUCAGAUCCGAAAAUCUGUUAAUCCCAAUGAAGUUUUCAAUUGGUCGAAAUCGUGUCAACUACAGACUGAAAAAAAAGCACACACCGUAG